UUAAAUCAUUAGGUGAACCGACGAGAUCUCAUACCAUUUUAAAAUCACUUGCAAAAAAAUAUCACUUUAGUUCGGUUGUGGUUAAAAGCUUUAAGACGAAAAGUUUGUGCUCGAGGAUUUCGCAAGUCGGAAAAAUGAUCACAAUGACGAUAGCCAAAUUUACGUCAACACCACAACUAAUUAUCCUCUUAGUAGCUGCUUCGAUAUUGGUCGGUGUGUCUUCUCAACUCCUAACGAAAGAUCUAAAGCCGGCUCCCGUUUACUACACUGAGCAGGAAGCUAAAGAUUAUUGCAGGCGACUCGAAAAGAAAGGAGUGAUGUGCGAGCAGACUGAGACUGUGGGUUAUUCAUGUUUGUGCAUCCCAGAAGAAUAAUCACAUGGGUAGCCCAUUAUUAUAUAUGAAGGCCUAAAUGUACAUACAAUAAUAUUAAUUAUUUUACUUAUUGAAUUAAAAACAUUUUUUUAGAACGUAA